rnacentral:lncRNA from 1 species
GGGUCUCAGUGCCAGGGGUGUCAGUGCUGCGGACGUCAAUGUUGGGGUGUCAGUGCUGGGGACGUCAGUGUUGGGGUGUUAGUGCUGGGGGUCUCAGUGUUGGGGAUGCCAGUGCCGGAGGUAUGAGUGCUGGGGGACUCAGUGUUGGGGGUGUCAGUGCUGGGAGUGUCAGUGCAGGGCUGUCAGUGCUGGAGGUAUGAGUGCUGGGGGUCUCAGUGUUGGGGGUCUCAGUGUUGGGGGUGUCAGUGCUGGAGGUAUGAGUGCUGGGGGUCUCAGUGUUGGGGGUAUCAGUGCUGGGAGUGUCAGUGCAGGGCUGUCAGUGCUGGAGGUAUGAGUGCUGGGAGUCUCAGUGUUGGGGGUCUCAGUGUUGGGGGUGUCAGUGCUGGAGGUAUGAGUGCUGGGGGUCUCAGUGUUGGGGGUGUCAGUGCUGGGGGUCUCAGUGUUGGGGCUGUCAGUGCUGGAAGUAUGAGUGCUGGGGGUGUCAGUGCUGGGGGUCUCAGUGUUAGGGGUGUCAGUGCUGGGGGUGUCAGUGUUGGGGGUCUCAGUGCUGGGGGUCUCAGUGUUGGGGCUGUCAGUGCUGGAGGUAUGAGUGCUGGCGGUCUCAGUGGUGGGGGUGUCAGUGCUGGGAGUGUCAGUGCCCGGCUGUUAGUGCUGGAGGUAUGAGUGCUGGGGGUCUCAGUGGUGGGGGUGUCAGUGCUGGAGGUAUGAGUGCUGGGGUUCUCAGUGUUGAGGGUGUCAGUGCUGGAGGUAUGAGUGCUGGGGGUCUCAGUGUUGAGGGUGUCAGUGCUGGGAGUGUCAGUGCAGGGCUGUCAGUGCUGGAGGUAUGAGUGCUGGGGGUCUCAGUGUUGGGGUGUUCGUG